CCUACGGGACGCUGCAGUGAGGACUAUUGGUCAAUGGCCGGAAGGCUGAACCAGCCAUUCCGCGUGAAGGUCAGUGCCCUAUGGGCGUUAAACUUCUUUUGUGCGGGAGCAAUAAUGGUCACGUGUGGCCAGACGAGAGUACCGUACGACUAAGCAUCGGCUAACUCCGUGCCAGCAGCCGCGGUCAUACGGGGUAUGCAAGCGUUAUCCGGAUUUAUUGGGUUUAAAGGGUGCGUAGGCUGUGAGGUAAGUCAGCGGUGAAAUGCCCCCGCUCAACGGGGUGAAGUGCCAUUGAUACUGCCUGGCUGGAAUGCGGAUGCCGUGGGAGGAAUGUGAGGUGUAGCGGUGAAAUGCAUAGAUAUCACACAGAACACCGAUUGCGAAGGCAUCUCACGAAUCCGCGAUUGACGCUGAUGCACGAAAGCGUGGGUAUCAAACAGGAUUAGAUACCCUAGUAGUC
rnacentral:rRNA from 1 species